AGUGUUUAAUGGCAGGUUGAGUGGUGUAAACUGGCAGAAAAUGAGCUGUGAUAUUUCUACUUUAAGAUGAGAAUGAGAAACAACUUAUCUUGAUAAAAGCGUAGAAAUUGGUUUCUUCAGGAAGCCUUCCCUGCUUCUCUAGUUUGAGAGACAGAAUUUCUCCAUGUUGCCCAGGCUGAUCUCGAACUCCUGGAUCAAAUGGUUCACCCACCUCAACCUCUCAAAGUGCUGGAAAUACAAGUGGAUUACAACAUGAUAAAGAGGAGAAAAAAGAUACCAGAAUGAUGCUUCCUGCCCUUUAACAUCGGACUCCGAGUUCUUCAGCUUUUGGAUUCUGGAUCUAUACCAAUGGUUUGCCAGGGUCUCUUGGACCUUUGGCCACACACUGAAGGCUGCACUAUUGGCUUCCCUACUUUUGAGGUUUUGGGACUCAGACUGGCUUCCUUGUUCUCCUCAGCUUGUAGAUGGCCUAUUGUGUGACUUCACCUUGUGAUCAUAGCUUACAAAAAGCUUGAUUGAAAAGAGAAGAGAAUGGAACACGGUAUGAUGACAACAAAGAGAAAAGGAGCCAAGAUUAGUCUGGACAGUAUGCAGACAUUGACUCUGCUUUGAGGACAGAGCUGGAAUUAAUUUCACGUGCACCACAUAAGGAUUGCAUCCAACAUCACUCUUCCUGUAUUCUUUGGAGGAGCUUCCGCCUAUUGCCUCUGCCCUCCCUGCACCGUGGGACACAUGAAGUAGUCUUAGUUCCAGCAGAUGGUAACAUCAGCUUCCUGGCCAACCUGGCAUUUCCCCAGGGAAGAAGGGAAGACGGAAUAAGCCCUGGCUUUGUUGCAAUAGUGCGUUCUCCUGAGAUUUGCUUGUUUACAAGUGUGUGGCACCUCCCCGCCUCCUUCCUCCUACUCCAGCCAUGUGAAGUGCCUCGCUUCUGCUUUGCCUUCUACCAUGAUCGAAAGCUUCCUAAGGCCUCCCUCCAGAAGCACAAGCCGCUACACUUCCUGUACAGCCUGCAGAACUGUGAGACAAUUAAACCCCUUUUGUUUUCUUUAUAAAUUGCCCAGUCUCAGGUAUUUCUUUAUAGCAGUGCGAGAAUGGACUAAUAAUACAACCUGAUUUUCAAACUUUAUUAUGUUCUUUUUUGAGACGUAAUUCACAUAUCAUAAAAUUCACCACUUUAUAGGAUAAAAUUCAGUAGUUUUAAUUAUAUUAACAAAAUUGUGCAAUCGUCACCACUACCUAAUUCCAGAGUAUUUUCACCAGGCCAAACAGAACCCACUUACCCAUUAGCAGCCAUUUCCUUUCUCUCCCUCCCCACUUCAAACUCUGGUAAACACUGAUGUACUUUUUAUCUCUAUUGAUUUGUCUGUUUUGUAUGUUUCAUAUAAAGUGAAUUGUACCAUAUGCGGUCUUUUGUGUCUGGCUUCUUUAACUUGGCAUAAUGUAUUCAAUGUUCAUCUAUAUUUUGAUAUGUAUCAGCAUUUUGUUCCUUUGUUGUUGAAUAAUAUUCCAUUGUAUAGAUAUGCUGCAUUUUGUUUAGUCAUUCAUGAAUGGAUGGGCAUUUUGGUUGCUUACACUUCUUGGCUAUUUUGAGUAAUGCUUCAAUGUACAUUCAGGUACAACUUUUUGUAUAGAUGUAUGUUUACAUUUCUCAUAGGUGUAUAGCUAGGAGUGAAAUUUCUGGGUCAUAUGGUAACUCUUUAACUUUUUGUUUUUGAGAAACUGCCAAACUAUUUUUUAAAGUAGAUACACAAUUUUACAUUUCCACAGUAAUGCACGUGUUCAAUUUAUCCCCAUUAGUGCCAACACUUAAUUAUUAGUCUCUUUGAUGUACAGUUAUCCUUUUAUUUAUUAUAUGAAGAAGAUAAUGGUAUCUUAUUGUGAUUUUGAUGUGCCUUUCCCUAAUGACUAACGACGUCAAACAUCUUUUCAUGUGCUCAUUGGGUAUUUGUACAUCUUCUUUGGAGAAAUGUCUAUUCACAUUUUUUAAUUGGGUUAUUUAUAGUUGAGAUGUUAGGGUUCUUUUUAUAUUCUGAAUACUAGCUUCUUAUCAGAUAUAUGUUUUGCAAAUAUUCCUACACAUUCAGUGAGUUGGCUUUUCACUUUCUUCAUACUGUCCUUUGAAGCACAAACAUUUUAAAAAUUUUGAUGAAGUCAAAUUUAUCAAAUUUUCCUUUGUUGCUGGGGCUUUGGUGUCAUGUCUUAGAAACUAUUGCCUAACCCAUGAUGUGAAGGUUUACACAUAUGUACUUUUCCAAGAGUUUUAUAAAUUUAGCUCUUACAUAUAGACCUUUAGUACAUUUUGAAUUAAUUUUCAUGUGUGAUAUGAGCUAAGGCCCAACUUCAUUCUUUUACGUGUGGAUAUCGUGUUUUCUCUGCAUCAUUUUGUUGAAAAUAAAAUUUUUUCCCCAUUGAAUUAUUUGGCACCACUGCUGAAGAUUAUUUGACUAUAAAUGUGAGGGUUUAUUCCUGAAGUCUUAAUUCUAUUGAUCUAUUUGUCUAUCCUUAUGUUAGUACCACGAUGUCCUUAACACUGCAGUUUUGCAGUCAGGAUGUGUGAGUCCUCCCAUUUUGUUCUUUUUUUCCACAUUUUUGGUUAUUUUGAGCUCCUUAAAUUUCCACCUGAAUUUCACAAUCAGUUUGUAAAUUCUUCAAAGAAGCCAGCUGGAAUUUUGAUACUAAUUGCUUUGAAUGUAUACGUCAAGUUGAGGAGUACUGGCACUUUAAAAAUAUUAAAUUUUUCCAUUAAUAAACAUGAGGUAGCUUUCCAUCAUUUCAGGCCUUUAAUUUCUUUCAACAAUGUUCUGUAGCUGCUCCUAGGAGUUUUAUCAUUUUUGAUGUUAUCAUAAGUGAAAUUGUUUUCUUACUUUUAUUUUCAAGUUGAUCAUUGCUGGAAACACAAUUGAUUUUUGUAUUUUGAAUCUUGUACCCUGCAUCCUUGCUGUAUUUAUUAAAACUUUCUAUAUACAUAGUUUAUAUAUAUUAAGAUAAAUUUAUGUAUAUCUUUUGAGCAAUUUAAUAUUUAAUAACUGCAUUAGUCAGGUUUCUUCAGAGAAACAGAAUCAGUAGAAUUAUAUAGAAAAUAGAGAGAUAUUCAACAGAGAGACAUUUAUUUUAAGAAAUGGCUUAUGGAAUUGUGAAAGCUGGCAAGUUGGAAACCUAUAAUACGGCCAACAGACUUGAAACAGGCAGAUUUUAGGCUGUCAUCUGGAGGCAAAAAUUCUUGUCUAGGAAACCUCGACUUUGCUCCUAAGAUCUUCUACUGAUUGGAUAAGGCCCUCCCAUAUUGUCAGCCAUAAUCUUCUUUACUUAAAGUAAACGUAAACUGAUUUCUGGGGAAAAUGAUAUCUACAAAUACCUUCACUGCAAAUCUAGAUUAUGGUUUAAAUUGACACUUAAGACGAUCACAAUAGCCAAAAUCUUACUUCCUGCUGUGUGCAUUGUUAGCCACAUUAUUUCCGGAAUUUUCAGUGAAAUUUAAAACAUAUCAGGGCAAUACUCAAAAGAAACUAAAAAUUCUCUGAUAGUUUGAGAAAAAUCUACAGGUUUAAACAUUACUUUUUCUUUUUCUUUUUUAGCUACUCCUUGUAGAGCAAGGCUACCCCAUAGACGAUGUACUCAGAAUAACCUAAACACUACUUUUUCUUUCCUAGGGUAGAUUGAUUAAACACAUAAUCUCAAAAUUGCGCUUUGGGCACUGAAUAUUUUCUUAUUCAUCACGUGAUCACCAUGCAAAGAACAUUACUUAACUCUCUGGUAUGACAAGGGAGAGAGCCCUACCAAGAAUUUGUCUCUUCCCAUAUCAGAUUUAGUUGCAUUGUGUGUGUGUGUGUGUGUGUGUGUGUGUGUGUAUUACGUAUAACUAUGCCUGUAUUUAAACAAGGACAGUAGGAUGGGCCAUUCAUUCACUGAGUGGCAGUGGGGAAACCUUCAGAUCUAGACUUUGUCUAGAGUAUCCUUUCAGAACUAUUCCUACUGAUUUCUUUUUGUUUUGCUGGGAGUCGUUGGGUGGUCAUUAAACAGUAGGUGAAGGGUGAGUGAGUAAAGAAAGCAAUCCAUUCUGAUCUCCAUAACUGGCCAUUACCUCACCCCCUGCUGGGUCGGCAUCUCCAGGAGGGAUAAGAUGGGGCAGUUAUAAAAAAGGAACAGCUAUAGAAUAGCUUUAAAAUGUUUAUAGAACACCUAUAAAAUGACCCUCGAGGCUCAGUGUAAAGGCUGUUUUAUAGUUAGAGCAUAGAUUCCAGACUACUGGCAGGCCCCCUGCUCUGCAGAGAGGCCACCUUCACACUCUCUAAACCAAUUCAACCUAACCACUUGCUUCCACUGUUCUUUUUACCCUCUUACUAAAGGGGCCUAUAAAUUAGGCAACAAAACAAAACAAAAUAAAAACAAGUGCAUCACAUUUGACUUUGAAUUCUUUAAAUUACUUAAGUUGUUGGGUCAAAUCUGCUGAUAAACAUACUUGCACUUAUGUGGCUGAUCCAGAUGAAAUAUCAAGAUCUGUUUGGACUGAAUUGCUAUCAGUCAUUAUGAAGCUAUGAUGGCUGGGACAAUUUUUUGAUCCUGGCAACUUGGUUUUGGUGGUUUGUACAGUGAACAGUGAGACAAUCCUCUCCUCUAAAUAAUAAGUUUUAUUUUAACUUAUAAUUCACUAAAUAAGUUUGUCUUCUGAGAGGCAUUAAGUAAACUAAGAAAUUACUAAAAAUAUAAGUGAAAAGAUUGGGUCUUUCCAAAGCUCUAAGUCAGGUAAAUGUAUAAUUUCUUUCUAUUAUUUGAUAUAUUUUAUAAAGAGGUUAGCAUGUGACAAAGAAAAUUUUGAGUAAUACUUCAACUAUAGUAUGUAAGAUAAGAUGAAUCAUUUCCCCCUACUCACUAAAUUGACUGCUUCAAGAACUACAAAAUUUGUAUCUGUUGUAUUUAGUUCCUCACUUUGGAAUAUUACUAGAAAUUAUCUUGCUUUUGUAGCUUGAGAUAAUUUUUAUUAUUUUUUUAAUAAGUGUGAGAAAAUUAAACAUUUUCUUUUUAAUUAUAUUUCAGUCUGUCUUUUAAUAUUGUGUUUUGAUGAAAAUAAUUGAUGAAUCAUGAGAUAUUAGAAUACCAAUGUCUGGGAUUAAUAACUGGAAUAUCUAAGGAGCUCAAACAACUCAAUAGGAAAAAAAAGAUCUAAUAAUCAGAUUUAAAAAUGGGCAGAAGAUCUGGAAAGACAUUUCUCAAAAGAAGACAUUCAAAUGGUAAACAGACAUAUGAAAAGGUGCUCAACAUCAUUGAUCCUCAGAGAAAUGCAAAUCAAAACUACAAUGAGAUAUCUCAUCCCAUUAAAAAUGGCUUUUAUCCAAAUAGAGCCAAUAAUAAAUGCUGGUAAGAAUGUGGAGAAAAAGGAACCCUCAUACACUGUUGGUGGGAAUGUAAAUUAGUGCAACCACUAUGGAGAACAGUUUGGAGGUUCCUCAAAAAACUAAACAUAGAGCUACCAUAUUAUCCAACAAUCCCACUGCUGGGUAUAUACCCAAAAGAAAGGAAAUCAAUAUAUCAAAGAGAUAUCUGCAUUCCCAUGUUUGUUACAGCUCUGUUCACAGUAGACAAGAUUUGAAACAACCUAAGUGUCCAUCAGCAGACGAAUAGAUAAAGAAAAUGUGGUACUUAUACACAAUGGAGUACUAUACAACCAUUAAAAAAAUGAAAUCCUAUCAUUUGCAACAACAUGGAUGAAAUUGGAGGUCAUUAUGUUAAGUGAAAUAAGCCAGACACAGAAAGAAAAGCAUUGUAGGUUUUCACUUAUUUAUGGGAUAUAGAAAUCAAAAUAAUUGAUUCUAUGGAGAUAGAGAGUAGAAGGAUGGUUACCAGAGGCUGGGAAGGGUAAUCGGAGGAUUGGGGGUAGGUGGGGAUGUCUGUCUAAUGGGUAGAAAAAAAUAGUUAAAAUGAAUGAACAAGGCAUAGUAUUUAAUAGUACAACAAGGUGACUACAGUCAAUAAUAAUUUAUUAUGCAUUUUAAAAUAACUAAAAGAGUAUAAUUGCAUUGUUCAUAACACAAAAGAUAAAUGCUUGAAAAGAUGAAUAUUCCAUCUUCUAUGAUGUGAUUAUUAUGUAUUGCAUGCCUGUAUCAAAACAGCUCAUGUAUCCAAUAAACAUACACACCUACUAUAUACCUCAUAUAAUUAAAAAAAAAUUCAACACCUUCUAUGUGACAGCAAAAUAAAAAUAAUACCAACUUCAGCAGUUAUACUAGAACUUGAUGUCCCAACACAGCCUUCAGGUAAUUUGCAUCUUUCUCAAAAAGAUGAAGCAAAAAAUAGGCAGGAAGAGGCUUUUUAUAAAAUUAAUUCCUAAGCCAAAUGAUGUCUCAGGUUUUAUUUACUUAUUUAUUUUGCUUUCUAGAAUAUUAUUAAGUGUUAAAAUGAGUUCUUUGUUUUGUUGGUAUUCAAAUGUAUUCAUUUAUUCUAUAUCAUUGCUCUUCAUUGUUUCAGAUUUUGGUAGAUAGAUUUGGUGAGAUUCUUUAAUCAAAAUUUAGAAAUUUUUCUUGCUAUAAAUGUAGUUACAAUAAUACUAAAUAUCUAAUAUAUUACGUUAAGUCCUAGUUUUCUGCAGAUACUUAGUAAUGUUUUCUAUUUUUAAAAAAUCUCACAUCAAGACUGGGUUUAAAAAUAUUUUAUGUAAUAAAAAGGAAUUUUUAUAUAAAUCUUUUAGGUAUUAUUAAGGAAUCUUUUCUAUAGCAAUGUUUGCAGUUCCUCUUUCAACUUUAAUUUAUUUUAAAAUUUUAAAUUCAUGAUUAUUAAUGUUAUUUUUGAUUAACAAAUCAUAAUGGUAUAUAUUUAAGGGAUACAAUGUGAUGUUUUGAUAUAUGUAUACAAUGUGGAAUGUUUAAGUCAAGCUAACUAGCAUAUCCAUCAUUUCACUUAUUUACCAUUUUUUAUGUGAGGCCAUCAUUUAACUCUGUACAUUUGUGGGUUCAACUUUUUUAUAUUACACAUAUAAGUGAGAUCAUGUGGUAGUUGAACUUCUGUGCUUGCCUUAUUUCACUUAGCAUAAUGUCCUUCAGAUUUAUCCUUGUCAUGAAUGACAGAAUUUUCCCAAUAUUCUAUUGUGUAUAUAUACUACAUUUUCUUCAUCCAUUCAUCCAUUGUUGAACACUUAGGUUCAUUCUGUAUCUUGGCUAUUGUGUAUAAUGCUUCUAUGAACAUGAUAGUACAGAUAUCUCUUUGACAUAUUGAUUUCGCUUCCUUUGGAUAUACAUCCAGAGUGGUAUUACUGGAUCAUAUGGUAGUUCUAUUUUUAGUGUCCUGAGGAAACUUUAGGCUGUUUACUAUAAUGGUGCUAAUUUGCAUUUCUACCAACAAUGUAUAAGAGUUCUGCAUUAGGCCGUUCUUGCAUUGCUAUAAAGAAAUACCUGAGAUUGAGUAACUCAUAAGAAAAGAUUUUUAAUUGGAUCAUAGUUCUGCAACAGGAAGCAUAGCAGCAUCUGCUUCUGCAGAGGACUUGGGAAGCUUCCAAUCAUGUCAGAAGGCAAAGGGGUAGAAGGCAUAUCAUAUGGCAAGAGCAGAAGCAAGUGAGAUGGAAGGGGGAGAUGCCACACAGUUUUAAACAACCAGAUCUUGCAAGAACUCACUCACUAUUGCGAAAAGAGUACCAAGCUAUGUGAGAUCUGUCCCUGUCCCCAUGACCCAAACAUCUCCCACUAGUUCCCACUUCAGCUUUGGGGAUUGCAAUUCAACUUGUGAUUUGGACAAUGACAAAUAUCCAUAUUAUAUCAAGUUUCUUUUUCUCUGCAUCCUCACCAACACUUGUUAUUUUUCAUCUUUUUGAUAAGAGCCAUUGUAACAGAUGGGAGGUGUAUCUUACUGUACUUUUAAUUUUCAUUUCCCUAAUGGUUAGUGAUACUGAGCAUUUUUCACAUACAUAUAUGUCUUCUUUGAGAACUGUCUAUUCAGAUCUUUUGCCAAUGUUUUAAUUAGGUUGUUUGUUUUCUUGCAAUAGAGUUAAUCUUAUAUGUAAGAAACACCAUAAAAACUCCACUAGAAAACUGUUAGAACUGAUAAAUGAAGUCAGUAAAGUUGAAUUUUAUUGUGUAUUGAACAAUACACAAUCAACAUACAAAAAUUUGUAGCAUUUCUAUAUAUUAAUAAUGAAUUAUUCUUAAAAAAGAAAACAUUUACAUUUACAAUAGCAACAAAAAGUUAAAUAAGUGUAAAUUUAAUUUAAUCAAAGAGGUAAAAGACCUGUAUAGUAUGCCAUUGUUACCUGUAAAUUCUGAAUCCAUGGAUUCAACCGUAGAUCAAAAAUAUUUUUUUAAAAAAUUACCUCUGUAUUGAGCAUGUACAGGCUUUUUUUCUAAAAAAUAAUUUUCUAAUCAAUUAUUUCCUAAACAACACAGUUCUAACAAUUAUUUACGUAGUUUUUUUGUAUUAGGAUCAUAAGUAGUCUAGAGAUUAUUUAAAGCAUACAAGAGGAUGUGCAUAGUUUACAACAAAUAAUAUGCCAUUUUAUAUCAGGGACUUGAGCAUUCAUGGAUUUUGGUAUCUGUGGGAGGUCCUGGAACCAAUACCCCAAGAAUACCAAGGAAUGGCUAUAUACUGAAAACUAUAAAACACUGCUUAAAGAAAGGCAAGAAGACACAAAUAAAUAGAAAGAUAAACCAUGUUCAUGGACUGAAAUAAUUAAUAUUCAUAAAAUGUUAAUACUACCCAAUCUGCAAACUUAUUGUAAUCUCUUAUCAAAAUUCCCACUCUUACAGAAAUAGAAAAAUGUUCUUAAAUUCACAUAGAACCACAAGAGACUCUCAACAGCCAAAACAAUCUCAAGCAAAAAGAACAGAGCUGGAGGUGUCACAUUCCCUGAUUCCAAAACAUAUUAUAAAGUAAUUGUGAUCAAAACAGUAUGAUCCUGGCAUAAAAACAGACAGCUCAACCAAUAGAACAGGAUAGAGAACUCAGAAUUAAACCCGUGUUUAAUCAAUUGAUUUGUGACAAAAGUGCCAAAAACACAUGUAGAGAAAUGACAGUCUUGAAUAAAUAAUGUUAAAAAAAAACUGGGUAUUUACAUACAGAAGAAUGAAAGUGAACCAUUGCUUCACAUCUUAUACAAAAAUGAAUUCAAAAUAGAUUAAAAACGUAAACAUAGGACAUGAAACUCUAAAACUACUACAAGAAAACGUAUGGAAGAAGCUCUUGCCAUUGGUUUAGGCAUUGUUGCAAAAAUGACUAAAUGCUACUAAACAUUUCAUAGUUUUAAAUCUUAUGGCUAUAAAAAUGUUUUUCUUUUUUUAAUUUUAAAACAGUUAUUUUAUGUGGUGUCAUUUGUAUUUCUUUUUGUGAAUUUCUUAUUAAAACAUUCGCCACAUGUUUUAUUUUAUACCAACUAAUUAUUUUAGACUUUCUUAGAUUUUAAAGUUUUAAAUUAAUUUUUAUUUUAAAUAAGAGUCUCAGUCUUUACCUCCAUAUUUUCUGGGAUUCAAGUGCAAUCUAAGGCCUCCCAAAACUAGUUUUUUAGCUGAAAAAAAAUUGUUUUAGAUGUUUCACAAAUGUAAAGAUGUGAAUUAACUUAGACACGGGAAUGAAGAUUUUUCCCUAAUUUCACAGUUUAGGAAAUGUAUAUGAGUAAUAUGCUUCCUUGUUUUCUCUACAUAAUAAUAUAUUGCUAUUCUCUCCAGUGUGGCAUGAGGGAACUUGAGUAGUUUAUAAAUCUUUGUUUUAUAUCAUUUCCUAUCAUCAAAACUCUGUACACAUUGUAUCAUUUCUAAACCACUUGCGUACCACUUAGGAUUUGGCUUAUUCGGCUACUUUGGAAUUAGCUAGCUACUAUGGCAAGAAUUUAUGUUGAGAAAACUUGUGCUAUUCAUUGCUAUAUUUGUUUUCUAAAAAGUAUGAAAUUAUUUCUCAAUAGGUUAAUUUUAUCUACAAAAUUAAAACUAUACGUUUGUUUCUUGUCUCUGAACCUUCAUUCUGGAAAUCACUCUUCUGUGAACUAAGUGCAGAUCACAACGAUGACCCUACCAUCCUAUGCCCUCUCCAUCACACUUAGCACCAUAUCUGUAACAUAUUGCCAAAAUGGACCUUUAGGACAUUAAUCCUCAAUUAUCUAAACACCUGCCAUAUUUCCAAAUACAUACCACUCGUAAGGAUUUUUAGAAUAAAUCUAUGAAAAUAAUUCUAUAUUAAUUCAACAUAAUAUACACAAAUCUCAGAUAGUGAAACUCUCUGUUACUUCAUUGUAUACUCCUCCAGUUUGGAGCAUGUAGUAUUUUAGUGGGAGCUAUUUCUCAAAAACAGUGCUGUAUGUAUGUGGCUCUGAACCUCCUAGUCCCCAGAUAACAUUGUCUUUUCUACUUUAGUUAUUUUGUUUCAUUUGAUGUAUGUUAAGAGAUGUUCUCUAGAUGUUCACUAUGCUGGCCAAAUAAAUCUUUUUUUAAAAAAUGCACUUUUUGAAUAAAUUCUAAGCUGAAUAUGUGGUGUGAAGUUAAUGUGAGAGUACAUAAAAUAGACAGAAAAUUCCUAGACAGUAAUCUUUACUUUCCUAGUGUGAUUUACAAAAUUCCAUACAACAAAAUAAUUAACCUUAGAAAACCAUAUAACUUUAAAAAUAAUAUUUUAUUGAAGUACAGUAUUUUGUGGAAACAUUUUACUGAUGUUUUAGAAAAAGCAAUUUAGCAACUGGAGAAAUAGUAGGUUUACUUUGCCUGUUGGCACCCACACACGUCAUCUGGGGGCCUGAAGGGAGUUAUGCUCUGCUCACUGUGCCCAUGCAUAUUGCCUUGGAGCCUGGGGAUUCACUCUGCUCCACCAACCACCACUGGCUGACAUGCACACCACAAUUCAUGGGUCCGAGGAGAGGACUGUCCUACCCACCACUAGUGCCCAUGCAUAUCAUCUAGGGGCUCGGGAUCAACCUGCCUCACUGUGAGUGUCCACAUGUACCAUCAGAGGCCUGAGGAAAGACCUGCAUUGCCUUUCACUGCUGCCACAUGUGCAAGUCAUUGGGAGGCCUAGGGACUGACCUGCACUGCCUGCUACAGCCAAUACCUGUGCACCAACUGGGGGCCUGAGGACAGGCCUGAAACACUAUUCACCUCUACAGCAAGUGUCUGGGAGUAGGGUCCAAGUGUCUAUAGAUUGACCUGCCCUGACCACUGUAGGUGGUGCUUGUGCACAUACCAUUAGAAAGCCGAAGGACAGACCCAUCCUGCAUUUUGCUGCUGCUGCCACCACACGUGUGCAUUAUUUGAAGGCCUGGGGAUCAACACGCUCCGCCCACUGCUGCCAGUGCCCACAUCCACUAUCCAAGGGCCUUAGGCCUUCCCUGCUUACUGCCACUGCUGCCAGCACAUCAAUACACCAUCCAGGAGCAUGGGAUUAAAUGGCCUUAUCUUCCAUUUCCGACACUUAUGCACAUCAUCCAGGAAGCUUAGGUCUUCCCUACUUACUGCCACUACUGCCGGCACAUGAAUAUACCACCCAGGAACCUGGGGAUUACAUGGCCCCACCCUCCUUUUCCGACACUUAUGCACAUCAUCUAGGGGCCUAAGGACAGCCCUGCCCUGCCUACUACUGCCAUCACUGGUGCCUGAAUGCUGGCCUUCCUGGAGUCACUGUCUCCAGCAAAGCCUUACCACAGCCUCCACUAACAACCACUGUCUAAGUCACUGAGGAACUCACAGGAACCUCUGAUGCUGACUGCAGCCAAAAAAAAUCAUUUGGAGACUACACUACUAUGCCCAUCCAGAAUCAAAGCCAUGUGACCUUACUCAACCAACACUGUAGAUACACCUAUAGGAAAUAGUAUUUUCCUACAAAAACCAAUCCAUAAAAUAGAUAGAAGAGACUUACAACAAAUGCACAGAUAUAAACUUAAGAACACAAGAAACAUGAAAAAAAGCAAGGAAGCAUAACAUCUCCAAAGGAACAUAGUAAUUUUCUAGAAACAGAUUCCAAUGAAAAGAAAAUUUAUAAUAUGACUAAAAAAAUCAAAAUAAUAAUAUUAAAGCAACUCAGUGAGAUACAAGAGGGCACAGAUACAGUACAAAUAAAUCAGGAAAACAAUGAUCCAAAUGACAAAUUCAGCAAAGAGAUGGAUAUCAUAAAAAAGGACCAAACAGAAAACCUGCAACUGAAGAAUUCAAUAAAUAAAAUGAAAAAUACAAUUAAGAGUUUUAACAAUAUAAUAGAUCAAGCAGAAGAAAGAAUUUCUGAACUUGAAGACAAGUCUUUUGAAAUAACAGUUAGAUUUUUAAAAAAAAGAAUAUAAAAGAAUGAAUAAAUUCUAUGUGACAUUUAAGAUAAUAUAUAAUGACUAAAUAUCUAAAUUCAGGAAGUUCCAGAAGGAGAAAGAAGGGCAAAGACAUAGAAAACGUAUUUAAUAAAAUAAUAGCUGAAAACUUUUCGAGAGUCGCAAGAGAUGUAAAUAUCUAGACAUAGGAAUCUCAGAGAUACCUGAAUAGAUUCAAACCAAAAAUGUAUUCUCCAACACAUAUUUUAGUAAAACUGCCAAGUCAAAGAAAAAGAGAAUAUUAAAAACAGCAGGAAAAAAGCAUCAAGUCACAUAUAAGGUAAUCCCCAUCAGACUAAUGGCACAUUUCUCAACAGCAGCCUUAUAGACCAGGAGAAAGUGGAAUGAUACAUUCAAAGUACUGAAGAAAAACCCUAUCAGAUAAGAAUAUUAUACCCAACAAAGCUAUCCUUCAAAAAAUGAGGAAGAAAUAAACUAUUUUCCAGACAAGCAAAAGCUAGGAAUUCAUCACCACUAGACAGGCCCUACAGAAAUGAAUAAAAGAGUCCCACAUCUAGAAAUCAAAGGAUGAUGUCUAACAUCAUGAAAACACAAAAUUAUAUAACUUACUGUCAAAUAUAUACUAAAAUGAGAAAGAGAAAGAAGUUAAAUAUUACCACUACAGAAAACCACCAAACUGCAAUGAUAAUAAGAGACUACAAAAGGAGCAAAGGAUAUACAAAACAACCAGAAAACAAGAAAAUAACAGGAAUAAGUUCUCAUCUAUUAAUAUAAUAUUGAAUGUCAACAGAUUAAACUCCACACUUAAAAGGUUUAUUAAUGGAAACAAAAAAAAACAUAACUCAACUAUAUGCUACCUAAAAGCAACUCACUUGGCCUGUAAAGACACUUAUAGACUGAAGGUAAAGGGAUGGAAAAAGAUAUUCUACACAAAUGGAAACCAUACGUGAGCAAGAGUAGCUAUAUUUAUGUCAGUUAAAACACACUUUAAGUCAAAAACUGUAAAAAGCUACAAAGAAGGUCAUUAUAUAGGGAUAACUGAAUCAAUCCAACAAAAGGAUGUAACAAUUUUAAAUAUAUGUGUACUCAUCACCAGAACACCCAGAUAUAUAAAGUAAUCAUUAGAGAUAGACUUCACUAUAGUAAGUGCUGGGGACUUAAGAACCCCUCACUCAGCAUUGGACAAAACAUCUGGACAAAAAAUCACAAAAAAAAUUGAAUUUAAGCUGCUCUUUAGACCAAAUGAACCUAAUGGACAUUUACAGAACAUUUCAUUCAAUAACUAUGGAAUAAACUUUCUUCUCAUCAGCACAUGGAACAUUCUCCAGGACAGACCAUUUGCUAGGCUACAAAACAAGUCUCAGCAAUUUUUUUUAAAUCAAGAUUAUAUCAAUAAUUUCUUGAGACCAAAAUAAAACUAGAAAUCAAUAACGGGGAAAAUUAGAAUCGUAAAAAUGUAUGAAAAUUAAACAAGAUGCUUCUGACAAGUAUUGGGUCAAUGAACAAAUUAAGCAGAAAACCAAAAAGUUCCUUGAAACAAGUGAAGAUGGAAACACAACACACUAAAACCUGUGGGAUACAGCAAAAGCAUUGCUAAGAGUGAAGUUUAUAGCAACACCUACAAUGAAAAAGUAGAAAGAAGACUUGAAAUAAACAACUUAACAAUGCAGCUUGAAGAACCAGUAACAAGAAUGAACCAAGCCCCAAAUGCAUAGUAGGAAAGAUAUAUGAUCAGAACAGAUAUAGACAAAAUGGGGACUAAGAAAUUACAAAGGAUUAAAAAAGUAAAGAUUUGGUGUUUUAAAUAGAUAAAAUCACCACGCUGGCUAAACUGACCAAGAAAAAAGAAAGAAGUGCCAAAUAUAUCAAAUCAGAUAUGAAAAAGGAGACAUUAUAACUGAAGCUAAAGAAAUGUAAAGGAUCAGUAGAGACUAUCAUGGAAAACUUAUACACUAACAAAUUGUAAAACCUAGAGGAAAUUGAUAAAUUAUUGAACACAUAUAAUCUAAAAAAAUUGAAUGAAGAAUAAAUAGAAAACAUAAACAGACCGAAAAUGAGUAACAAUUGAAUCAGUAAUAGAAAGUCUCCUCUCUCCUCCCCACAAAAGCCCAGAAAUCAUAUUGCUUUACUGUGUAUUCCAUGUAUCAUACUUAUAAGAAUUAAUACCAAUUCUUCUCAAACGAAGCAAAAAUUCUUCCUAAUUCAUUCUAUGGGGCUAGUAUUACCCUGAUAGCAAAUCCAGACAAGGACACAACAACAACCACAAAAAGAAAAACUACCGGCCAAUUUUAGCGAUUAACAUAGAUACAAAAAUCCUAAACAAAAUAUUAGCAAACCAAAUUCAACAACGCAUUAAAAAGAUCAUUCACCAUGAUCAAGUGGUAUUCAUCCCAAGGAUGCAAGGAUGGUCUAGCAUACACAAAUCAGUAAACAAAUUAUUAAAAUUGUAAUAAGAAAUUAUAAAUAAUAAAACCAAAUGCUGUUUUUUGGGAAAAAAAAACAAAACAAUGAAAUUGAUAUUUCUUAACCAAAUACAAAAUUAGUACUUGCAGCUAAUAUGGCAAAAAGUGAACUAGUAUUUUAAAUUUUCAAGAAGUUUUCAUAAAUCAAUUAAAAAAUACAAAACCAUAAUGUAAAAAAGGCCCUAAAAUGUGAAUAUUUCACAAAAGUUAAAAAAAGAAACAAAUGGCCAAUGAAUAUAAAAAUCAAUUAAUCACAAAAUUAUUAUUGAAGCAAGAGAAUCAAAAUGAGGAAAUAUUAGCCCACCCUACCAACAAAGGUAAGGGUUAUGGAAGACCGUUGCCCCUAUUUCCUCCUUUUGCUGAGACUACAAAAUAGCUGAGCACUUUUAGAGGAUAUUUGGUAAAAUCAUUUCUGUUGGGAUAAAGGGGGCAGGAGAAAAUGUCUUUCUCUUAGCAUAAAGAUUCAAAAAUAAAAAAUUAAAAAAAUACAGAACAAUUUAUAUUUUAAUUUUCCUAAAUGUGAAUACAUUUAUACUUUGACAUAGAAAAUCCACUCAUAAAAAUGUAUGUAAUUAUGAUAUAUUUGCAUAAGUACACAAACAUGUAUGGAUAAGGCUCCUAUUUCAGCAUUGAGCAUAGAAAUAAUCAUAAUGUUCAUCAAAAAUCACACUGCCAAAUAACCAAUAAUAUAAUCAUAUAAAACCCUAUACAGCAUUUAAACGGGGAAAUAGAAUCUCACACUCGUCAAGAUGACUAACAUAAAAAAAAGUAGAAAAUAAUAAUUGUUGAUGAGGUUGUGGAAAAAUUGGAGCCCUUUGACACUAUUAAUAAGAAUAUAAAACGGUGCAGCUGUAAUGAAAAACAGUAUUGCAGUUCCUCAAAAAAUUAAAAAUCAUAAUCAUCAUAUGAUCCAGCAAGUUUCUCUGGGUGUAUGCCCAAAUAAUGAAAAGCAGGGUCUCAAAAAGAUAUUUAUUCAUUCAUGUUCACAGAAUCAUUAUUCACAAUAGCCAAAAGGUAAAAACAACCCCAGGGUUCAUUGAUGGAUAAUUGAGAAAACAAAAUGUGCUAUAUAUCUAUAAUGGAAUGUCAUUUGGCCUCAAAAAGGAAGUAAAUUCUGACACAAGUACAAUAUAGAUGAACAUCAAAAACAUUAUACUGUAGUGAAAUAAAUAAACCAGUCACAAAAGACAACUACUGUUUGAUUCAUCUGGGUAUCUAGGGUGUUCAAAUUCACAGAAACAGAAAGUAGAAUUGUGGUUUCCACGAGCUGGAGGGGGUUUAAAAUGGGGAGUAACUAUUUAAUGGAUAUUAACAUUCAGUAUUGCAAUUUGAAAAAGUUCUGGGAUCCGUUGCUCAAUGUGAAUAUAUUUAAUAAUACUAAAUGUACACUUAAAAAUAGUUAAGAUGAUAAAUUUUAUGUUAUAUGUGUUUUAUACAGUUUAACAAAAAAAGGAGGUAAAUUUAUAUGGAAAAUAAUUUUAAAAUGUGUUUAAAUAAAUGUUAAGUAAAAAAGUAAGUAUAAUAACAGUGUUUCAUUGUAAUAUAAUUUGUGGAUACAGAAUGUGUUUGUGUGUGUAUGUAUGUAUUAAUUCAGUUAAUUAUGGGAAUGAAAAGAUUAGCUUUUGGUUGAGAGAAUUUUAUCCUUUUUGCUAUUUUAAAUCAAGAUAAUGCACUAUAUUUUAAUUAAAAUGAAAUAAAACACUAAAAGGAAUAAGUUUGACCAUAUUUAAUGAAUUAUGACUGAGAUAAAUUAAUAAAAUUU
rnacentral:lncRNA from 1 species